CAUCGACGCGUACGGGUGUUGGGAGACAUAGCCCGGAGAUGGAUUCUGAGACACGAAUCCAGACCCUACGGGGUGCAGCAGGCGCGAAAACUUCACACUGCAGGAAACUGUGAUGAGGGAACUCCAAGUGUGUGCGUUUUACGUACACUUUUCUGAACUCUUAAUCGGUUCAGGAAUAAGGGCUGGGAAAGACCGGUGCCAGCCGCCGCGGUAAUACCGGCAGCUCAAGUGGUCGUCGCUUUUAUUGGGCCUAAAACGUCCGUAGCCUGUUUGGUAAAUCUGUGGGUAAAUCAACCCGCUCAACGGGUUGAAUUCUGCAGAGACUGCCAGACUAGGGACGGGGAGAGGUGUGGGGUACUCGAGGGGUAGAGGUAAAAUUCUGUCAUCCUUCGAGGACCACCAGUUGCGAAGGCGCCACACUGGAACGG
rnacentral:rRNA from 1 species